GGCAGAGGCAAAGGUGGUUCAGUGGUAGAAUUCUCGCCUUCCAUAUGGGAGACCUGGGUUCGAUUCCCAGCCUGGGCCCUUCAUGCACAGCCACCACCCGUCAGUGGAGGCUUGUAUGUUGUUCUGAUGCUGAACCGGUUUCAGUGGCACUUCCAGACUGAGACGGACUAGAAGGAGAGGCCUUGCUGAUCUACUUCCAAAAAUCAGCCAGUGAAAACCCUACGGGUCCCAGGGGUCCGAUGACUGGCAACGCUGCAUUCCCUGUGCACAGGGUCACAGUGAGUCAGGAGCCAGCUGACGGCAGCUAACAGCAAGAGAGGUGGGGUACAGGCCAGAGGCUAGUGACGGUACAGGGCGGAGCACAGGGGAACAAGAACAGGAACAAGGAGGAAGAGUGAGUGGAGGACAUGCAGGAAGCUGCCCAACAGCUCAGCCGGUACCGGGCUGCGCAGGAGGGAGGCGGACCGAAAGGGAGCUUUGGGCGGGGCUGAGGGGUGUGGGGUGUAGCUUCUAGGUAAUGAGAAAAGUUGAAAUGCUCUAAGUCUGGGAAAAGAAGUCAGAGGCAAACAGAGACUCUUGGAGCUAAAGACCCGGAGGAUGAAAGUCACCAGGAGAGAGGGAUAACAGAAGAGCGCUGAGGACAAAGCCCGGGGCUCGUCACCUUUUAGGCGGGGAGCCUGGGAAGGAGCCUGAAAGGAGAUGAUGUCACAGAGAAACUGGGAGGCACAAUGCCACAGCACAGGAGCCCAGGACGGCAGUUUCAAGAGUGUUGUUUUUGUUUUUUCUUUAAAAUAAAUAAACAAAUACAUCAUUGGACCAGAAUUGUGGGGGUGAAAGGAAUUCUAAAGGUCUUGGAGACCAGCCUUCCAUCAGAGAGACUGAGAAGUCACAUCCCAGGCCAUGCAGAUGACGCAAACCACCUAUAUUUACAAGAGAAAGCGGCCGGAAAUAGACUCAAAGGAGCUGGCUGACUCACUUGGUAAAUGAGUUUUACCAAAUGCCUUUGGCAAAAUGAUCCAGUUCAAAGUUGACCUGGAACAAAAAAAUCUUUGAAGCCAGGGGUCAGCAAAUUAUGACCCGAAGGCUGGAUCAAGCCCACUCCCAGCUUUUGUGCGGCCCAUGAGCAGCCUGCCAUAUUGCCUGCCAAUGUUGGGAUGUGUCAGCCUCCGCAGCCUGUGAGCCAGCAGCCUGCCAUCUUACCUGCCAAUCUUGGGUUCAUCAGCCCCCGCAGCUACUUGAGUCAGGUGAAGCCUCCAGCCUGAUGCCUGGCCCAUGGACUUGGGACUUGCUAGCCUCUACAACCACGUGAGCCAUUUUCUUGAGGUCAUGGAGAUCAAGCAGAGCCAAGAGAACAAGGCUUACUGGGUUAGAAGGAGGUUGCCAGCUUUGGUCAUAAACGUGAUUUUGUUUCUGACCCCCUGGACACUGAUGUCGCUAGUAUAUAAUGGACUCUGGAAGGAGCUCUCUUUUUAGAGCCCGUAGUUGCAGCACGGCCUCCCUGCAGCUAGGGCUAGAGUCCCGGUCAACGCAUUUCUAGUACCUUUUAUAAGAACAUCUAUUCCUCGGGGAACCUGAGAUUUCCUGCAUGCAACAUAGGUUAGGGCAGACUGUUGUUUUUAUUCGGGUGAAGUGUAAACUGCUAAUGAACAGACAAACACAGAACAACCAAAUACACGAGAAGCAUUAACCACAACAAGAGAUAAAUGGGACUCACGUUUCUCCAGUGCUGAGUUCCCAGGAGAUGAAUUCUCUUCCCGCUCUUUCUCGGGAUAAAAAUGCCGCAUAAAGUUCUGACUACAAAUGUCUUUACGAAAGACCCUGUGAGAACUGCAAGAGCAAGACCCUAGAAAGAAUGAGGAAAUGAGCAUCAAGGUCCAGACACAGGGCAAGGGACAGGGAGACUGACCGGCUUCACCCUGUCUCCCGGUGAGACCAGUAUGAAAAAGGAUCAAAUGCCAAGUUUCAUAACAGCUUCCUGUGGGAAACGUUUUCCUUCUGCCUCCUGUGAGCGCUGUAGAGGAGUAAACACUGUUCUGUGCUUCAGUUCAGAUUCAGGAGAUCACCUACAACUGAUUCAAGUGAAAACAAAAACCAGUUACCAUCCAGUCAAUUCUGACUCAAGGUGAUCCCACGUGUUACAAGUAGCAUUGUUUCACAGGGUUUUUUUGGCUCUAACCUUUACAGAAGGAGCCCUGGUAGCACAGUGGCUAAGCUCUUGGCUCCUAACAGAAAGGUCAGUGGUUCGAUCUCACCAGCCACUCUGCGGGAGAAAGAUGUGACAGUCUGCUUCCGUAAAGAGUAUGCAUCCUUGGAAACCCUACUCCAUCCUAUAGGGUCACUAUAAGUCGAAAUUGACUGGAUGGUUUGAAAUCUUUACAGAAGCAGUUCACCCGGCCUGUCUUCCGAGGCUUCUCUGGCUGGGUUUGAACUGCCAACCAUUCAGUUUGUAGCUGAGCGCUUAACCAUUUGCACCACCUGGGGACAUCUGGUGAGCAAGAUACAAAGGAGAGGGAAGGGGAAAGAGGACCUACUGGGAGAACAAAAUGCAAAUAAAGAGAAGCAGACUCUACAAACUGGUCCCUGCUGUCUUGAAAACGGGGAGACAAAACCAGCAAUUUUGAGUUAGAAUUCUCAUAAUUCAAACUAUAAAUUAAGAGAAGUGGAUAAAGGUGCUAAAUCGCAGAGAGAAGGGAAAAACUAAAAAGAAAUGGUGAAGAACAUAAGGCAAGAAAAAGCCAAGGUCAAAAGGGAAAGAAAGAAAUAACGCAGAAGGUUCCUAUGUGGUCCUUACUGAAUGCAGAGAACUUGGCUCAGUGUAACUCGACUCACACUCUAACCCGAGCACCAAGCACUAACCUAACACUCCUGUGCAGGUGGAAGUGCACAAGACGUACCCCAAGGCCUGGACCCAGGGAUGCCAGUCUAGCAUGAUUUUUCUCCACUCUGCUGAGCAUGACGGCUUCUCCAGGGUCUGAACCCUACUCCCCUGACAGGCCCAAGAAGCUACAGCCGAGGGGGGCCUUCACCCAAAGCGGCUGCUCCUAAGAGUGGACCCAGGAUGCCAGGUCAGCAAAAACAAGAUUUUCAAUUUCUUUCUUUAAUAUAGUUUUCUCUUUCUCCUUUGAAAUCAUUUACAUCUGAAAGAGAUUUGUUCUCAUUAUAAACGCCUACCCCGUUUCUCUUCUUAUCUGGAAUUCAUAAGUCUCUACUUGACUCUUUUUGGUGUUUAAAUACAGCACACACCAGUUGCCAUUGAGUUAAUUCCAACUCGUGGCAAACCCGUAGAACUGUGCGCCAUAGGGUUUUCAAUGGCUGAUUUGACAGCAGUAGAUCCCCAGGCCUUUUUUCUGAGGCACCUUUGGAUGGACUCAAACCUCGAACCUUUUAGUUAACAACUGAAUGUGUUAACUGUUUGCACCACCCAGGGACAAAUGUUUAAAAUACAUGUAUUAAAUCAUUUGAAAAUAUAACAAACGCCUUCUAUUUUGUUCUACCAACAUGAAAAUGACACAACUAUGAUCCUCAUGACAUUGAAAUACUUCCUGACGGUUGUAAGAAGAAGAAGAAAAAAAAAGCAAUAUGGCUUCCAUCUUGGGGGUGCACUCUCUCUUGCUUGCUCUCACAGAAGCCAGCCGCCAUGUCGUGAGCUGCCCUAUGGAGAGGCCCACACGGCAAGGAGCUGAGGGAGGCCUCUGGCCAACAGCCAGUGAGGGACUGGAGCCCUUAGUCCACCAACCUCAAGGAACCGAAUCCUACGCCUGAAACUACUGUCCUGAGAUACCUUUAAACCUUAAACCAAAAAUAUCCCCUGAAGUCUUCUUAAAAUUAAACAAUAGAUUAACUUAACUAGUAAAAAAUGUCUGCCUUACGCAUUACACUCUUUUAAGAACUAUCUACAUGGAAUCAAAUUGACAACAGCAACUUGAAAGAUUAAAUAGGAAGCUUACGGGGCCGUGAGUUUAUGUUAAUAGGAGAGGAACAGCUCAGAAAGGAGAGAAUGGUUGCACAACUCAAAGAAUGUGAUCAAUAUCACUGAAUUGUACAGGUAGAAACUGUUGAAUUGGUAUGUUUUGCCGUGUGUAUUCUCAACAACAAUGGAAUAAAUAAAAUAAAGGCACUGAAUCCUGUCAACAAUCAUGUGAAUGAGCUUAGAGGCAGAUUUUUUCCCAAACGGUCAGCUGAGGCCAUAGCCCUGGCCAACUGCAGCCCCUUAAGAGACCCUACUCCAGAAUCACCGUCUAAGCCAGCAGCUCCCAGAUUAUUUUUUGCUCUCAGAUUUUUGACCCAUGGUACUAUGAGAAAAUAAAUGUUUGUUUUAAGAUGUUAAGUUGUGGGGUCAUUUGUUAUGCAGCAAUGGAUAUAUACAACAAGCUUGAGGUAGGCAAAAACAUUUCUAAACCACAGACAAAAAACACAAGUAAUAAAAAAAAGAUAGGUUGGAUUUCAUCACAGUUAAAAUUUCUGCUCUUCAAAAGAUACGAUUAAAAAAAAAAGGCAAGCAAAAGAUUUGAAUACACAUUUCAAAAGAGAAGCUAUACAAAUAAGCUCAUAAAAAGAAAGACUAAAAUUGAAAAGACUGACAAUACCAAGUGUUGGUGAGGACUUGGAACUCAUACACUGCUGGUAGGGAUGUAAAGUGGUAUAACCACUUUGGAAAACAGUUUCAUAGAAAGUUAAACACACAUUUACCAUUAGACCCAGCAAUGCCACUCCUGGAGAUUUAUCCAAGAGAAAGGAAAACGUAGGUCCACAAAAAAGCCUGGUCCGUGAAUGUUCAGAGCAGCUUUACUCAUGAUAGCCCCAAACUAGAAACAACACAAAUAUCUAUCAACAGAUGAAUGGAUAAACAAAUUGUGGUCUUACGGUGGAACACUACUGAGCAAUUAAAAGGAAUGAGUUACUCAUACAUGCAAAAAACAUGGGUACAUAUAAAAAUUCUUAUACUGACCAAAAGAAGUCAAACACAGAAGAGCACACACUGUAUGACCCCCCUGCAUAUGAAACUCGGGAAAAUGUAAAUAAAGCCAUAAUGACAAAGUCCAGAUCAGUGGGGUGGGAGGCAAGAGGCAGUGACUGGAAAAAGGCCCUAGGGAACUUUUAGGGGUGAUGGCAAUAUUCUAUUGUGGUGAUUACAAGGAUGUAUACAUCUGUCAAGGAGCCCUGGUGGCACAGUGGUUAAGCGCUCCACUGCUAACCAAAAUGUAGGCGAUUUGAAUCCACCAGCUUCUCUGGGGAGAAAGAUGUGUGGCAGUCUGCUUCCAUAAAUAUUAUAGCCUUGGCCACCCUAUAGGGCCGUUCUCCUUUGUCCUAUAGAGUCGCUAUGAGUUGGAAUGGACUCCAGGGCAAUGGUUUUGGUUUAAACAUCUGUCAAAAUGCAUCAAAAUGUACACUUAAAAUUUGUGCAUUUUAUUGCAUGUAAGUUAUGCAUCAGUAAAACGUUGGCUAAAAGAGUUACAGGGCAUGUAUGAAAAGUCCUGCCUACUUUGUUUCUCCAAUAGGCAGUUACCUUGAGAUCUUCCCUGGCAGUUGUAUCAACUCUAGAAAUCUUGGUAUUUAUUUUCUUUCCUGAUCUUCAACCCAAUCCCAGUCAAUCAAAUAUGUAAAGAGUAACUAAUAAUGUGCAAGUCACAUAAAAAGGAAAUAUAGCAAAGAUGUUUAAUGAAUGAAAGAAUUACUUAAUUCCCAGCGUGAGGCCGUAUCUUUGUAACAAUGUAUCUGGUACAGUAUCGUCGAGUGGAUUCCGACUUAUAGCCGGCCUACAGUACUGCCCAGUAGGGUUGCCAAGGCUGUACGUUUUUAUGGAAGGAUCCUUCUUCCGCGGAGCAGCCGGUAGGUUCCAACCUCGGACCUUUUGGUUAAUAGUCAAGUAGUUAACCACUGCGCCCCAGGGCUCCUGAUCUGGUAAGUAAGAGAGACCCGUGGUCGUAGAGUCGAUUCCGACUCCUAGCGAUCCUAUAGGACAGACGAGAACUGCCCUACAAGGUUUUCAAGGAGCGGAUGGUGGGUGUGAACUGCCGACCUUUCGAUUAGCAGUCGAACGCUUACCAACUGCACCACCAGGGCUGGGAGCUGGUAAGUACUUCAAACUCUAAUUCUGAUGGGAAGGAAGAGGACCAGCUCAGACCCUUCAGCUCUCCCUUUGGGGGGUUUUCCGAAUCCUAUAGUGAUGAUUGCCCUUUGCAGGAUUGCAUCAUUCAUUCAUACUGUUCAGUAACAGGGAACCGUGGGAUAAGACAAGUGAAACUGGUCAGAAAUUAAGAAAAAGGAAGUUGAAAUGCCAUGAAAUCUUUUACCCGUGCAGAUUAAGAAAAACCAAGCGUGGGAUCGAUGAGGCCCCCCGCCCCGGCGGUGGGAGACAGCGGGGUGAGCGAGAAAGCUGGGCGCACGGAGGGACCCGCACAUGCCUGGACUCACGCGGGCGCUGCUGCUCCUGCCUGGGCCGCCGCCGCCUGCAGGGCUCGCUCGCCUGUAACUUUCCAGUGGCAGCGGGCCCAGCGCCGGCUCCGACGCUCAGUCCUGGGGGAGGCGACUCGUGCCGAGGGGCAGAGCCUGCAGCAAACAAUCGCACGAGAUCUGCUGAGGAAGUGGGGUGGCCGCCGCUGCGUUUUGCAUGUGCUUUUCUCCACUGGAGACGCCGGGUCCUCUCGGUGCCCAGCCGGGUUGGGAGAGAGACCUUGGCCCCGCCUCCGGGACCGCCCCACGGGGCGGGGCUUCCUGGCCACGCCCCCGCCGCCUGCCGGCUGAAAUUUACACGCUGCCUGCCGAGCUACCGGGCAGCUAGACAGCGAGGGCGUCACCUGCAGGGCCCCGGGGACGGACCGACAGACCAGCUCCCCGGCCCCGCCGCCCUGGACCUAAAGGCACCUGAGAGACGCGAGGGGCUUCUGCGCUGAUUUUACAAUCAACGAAAGCCGACGGGGCCUCUUCUGAAAUCCACCUUGGAGGAAUUUAGGUUUUGGGGGAACUUCCGAAACUACCCAAAAAACCCACUGCCAUGGAGUCGAUUUCCCAAACUACUCGCAACUAAAAUGUAGAAAGCUAUGAAUGCAAAAUGAGUCUUUGCACCUAUUUUGUUCGAGUCAUCUUAUUUCCUUCUAGGUGACACUUAUCCAGUGACUUUAUGUUGACUAUUAAAAAGAAAAAUGAGUGAAAAAAAAAGGGGGGUAAUUGUUCCCAAGCAUUUACCUUUGGGAGCAGCUGGUUGGAGCUAGGCAGUGAGGACUCACCCUAAGACAAGCCAGAACCUCAGAUGAUCACAGUCAGACGUCCAGGUUCCUAGUAAACUCAUCACCCGGGCCGGGAGGCUGCAAUGCUGGGGCAGGACAGUGAUCACAGGAUCCCUUCCUCUUGCUAAGGAACCCCUCAAAAGCCACAUUUUUUAAAUCUUGUAACAAGUCCUAAAAGGAGCCCUGGUGGUACAGUGGUUACCCUCUUGGCUUCUAACCAAAAGGUGGGUGGUUGGAACCUACCAGCCUCUGUGCGGUGAGGAAACCGUAUGGGGCAGUUCUACUGCUUCACACUGGGUUGCUAUGAGUGGGAAUGGACUAGAUGGUACACAGUAAUAACAAACAGUCCCAAUGCUCUUUGAUUACCUGUGCCUUUGAAGUGCAAUAGUCCCGGAUUUCCUUAGUACCAGGAUGUCUGUAGUUUAACUUCUCUCACUGCAAAUGGUUCUAAUGAAGGCUGGUGAAGAGGAAUUUAGAUGUUUUGAAAUAAAGAGGUAAAAGAUUAAACAAUGGGGGGGUGGACAAAACAAGGGGUCUGAAAUAACAAUCUAGCCAAGAACCUGUAUAUAUUUUAUCUUAAUUUUGAAAUGAAUACAAUAAACAGGAUGUUAAACAGCAAGUCUUUGUAUGUAUGUGUAAGUAAGUAGCAAUGGAGAAUCUGUUUCAAGGGGGUGAGGGACUUAGAUACAGUGAACGUGAAAAACUAGAAGAGUUAGUUUAUGCUAUUAUUUAUAUUUCAUAGAUGUUUAAUAAAGAGUUCAAGCUGUAUUAAAUAGAUUUUAGAUAAAAUGUUUAUAUGGAAUAAAAUCUUUCAAUUGCUCAUGGUCCUCAUAUCCACCUCACACUAACACCUGUAUUAACACCUGUGGGCAUGAGACGGCAGUGUUGUAGACUUCAUUCAGCUAGAACAUGGGUCACAUUUACAUAAUUUUUAAAAAUUGUCCAAAACAAGCUAAUAGUGGUCACAGAUUACAUACACAUACAACAAUCAGGAAGUAAUCUUGCCAGACAAAGUAUGACUGUGUAAACAGAUAAUCAUAGACCUCAUUGUUGUUCUUACAGGAAUAAAGCUAAAUAGCACCCAUGAACCAGAUGCAGUACCGUAUAAUGAAGGUAAAGUUCUCACAUUAGCUAGUUAUUUUGCUAAGUAUUAAUCAUAACUGGUUAGUAAAAAUGUAAUACAGGUAAUACUAGUAUUCCUAAAGGUGUUCUAAAGGUCACAUUUUCAUAAGCUAACAAGUUUUCUAAUGAUUAACUAUGUUAGAUUCGUGUGCUCUGUUUAGAAGAAAAAGUAAUGCAGAUUGGAUAAAGUAGCCUUCUAAAAGACAGCCAACUGAACAAUCACUCUAGAAACAAUAUGGUAUUUUUCCAAUAACACUGAACACGCGCAGUUUCUGUGAUCCAGCACCUCCUCAAGAAUGCACGUGGAAGAAACUUUUGCGUGUGAGCACCAGGAGUCACAUACAAGAGUGUUCGUGAGAACACUGCAUAUACCCAAAUAAUCAUCAUCAGGAAGCUUAAAGAAGAGAAUAUCAUAGAUGAUAAAUCACAACAGAAAUUCAGGACAGCAGUUAACUAUGGGGGGAGGACAGGCAAAGAGACCGGGAAGAGACAUAUGGAGUUCUUCAAAGGUAUUGCUGGGAGUGGUGGGAGUGGAAAUUGGUAAAAUCCCAAGAAAAACAAUUUGAUAACAUCUAAUUACUCAUUGUAUAUGCAAUCCCACUUCUAAAAUGUAUCAUAAAGCUGUUUUAGCAUACAUGAGAAAUAACAUAUGUACAAGGUUUAUAAUACCACAACGUUGGGAACAACUAGAUAAAUAAUGGUGCAUUCAUUCAAUGAAUUAUGCCACUGCUAAAAAUAUAAGAAAGCUCUCUAUACCAAAAUGAAAAGAUCUUCAAGAUAUGUUGGCUAGUGAAGAAAGCAAGUGGCUGAAGAGUAUGUAUCAUGUUACCUCUUUAUUAAAAAAAAAAAGGAGAAAAUAAUAAUAUAUGUUUGUAAUAUAUUUGGUGCAGUGGUUAAGAGCUCGGCUGCUAACCAAAAGGUCAGCAGUUCAACAGUUUGAAUCCACCAGGCGCUCCUUGGAAACCCUCUGGGGCAGUUCUACUCUGUCCUAUAGGGUCGCUAUGAGUCGGAAUCGACUCGAUGUCAAUGGGUUUGGGUUUUUAGGUGUAUAUGUAUAUUUGUAUUUGCAUUAAGUAACUUUGGAAAGAUACACAAGACAUGAGAGCAGUUAUGAGGGUUGGUGAGAACUGGGAGGGUGGCGGAAGAGGGGAAUGUUUACCCAGUUAUGCUACUUAUCUUGCAUACAAAUAAAAACCAAACAAACCAAACCAAAACAGCAUGUACAAUAUUUAAGAUCCAUAUUAUAGGCACACAUAGAUUGAAGCCUCAGAGCAGAGACAGCAAGUGGUUCAUAAUGAUUCUUUCUGGAUGGAGAGGUGGUGAAUUUAUCCUCUUCUCUUUGUUAAAGCCAUCCACUUGUGGUAUUUCUGUUACAGCAGCGCUAGAUGACUAAGACAAACAUGCGAUCAGGCAGCAUUGACAAUUACUGGUGCUUCGAAUGCGAAACUUGGAAACAAAGAUCGCAUGAUUGAAUUUUGCAAGACCAACAACUUCUUUAUUGCAAAUAAUACCUUUUUUCAUCAACAUAAACGGCGACUAUACAUGUGGACCGCACCAGAUGGAAUACACAGGAAUCAACUCAACUACAUUGGUGGAAAGACAAUGGAGAAGCUCAGAAUCAUCAGUCAGACUAAGGGCACAGGCUGACUAUGGAACAGACCAUCAAUUUUUCAUAUGCAAGUUCGAGUUGAAACUGAAGAAAAUAAGAACAAGUCCACGAGACCCUAACUAUGACCUUGAGCAUAUCCCACCAGAAUUUAGAAACCAUCUCAAGAAUAGAUUUGACUCAUUGAACACUAAUGACCAAAGACCAGAUGAAUUGUGCAAGGACAUCAUACAUGAAGAAAGCAAGAGAUCAUUGAAAAGACAGGAAAGAAAAAAAAAAAGACCAAAA